UACGUAGGGUGCAAGCGUUGUCCGGAAUUUAUUGGGCGUAAAGAGCUCGUAGGCGGUCUGUUGCGUCGGCUGUGAAAACCCGAGGCUCAACCUCGGGCCUGCAGCCGAUACGGGCAGACUAGAGUUCGGCAGGGGAGACUGGAAUUCCUGGUGUAGCGGUGAAAUGCGCAGAUAUCAGGAGGAACACCGGUGGCGAAGGCGGGUCUCUGGGCCGAUACUGACGCU
rnacentral:rRNA from 1 species